rnacentral:rRNA from 1 species
UGGGGAAUUUUGGACAAUGGGCGAAAGCCUGAUCCAGCAAUGCCGCGUGUGUGAAGAAGGCCUUCGGGUUGUAAAGCACUUUUGUCCGGAAAGAAAUCCUUGGCUCUAAUACAGUCGGGGGAUGACGGUACCGGAAGAAUAAGCACCGGCUAACUACGUGCCAGCAGCCGCGGUAAUACGUAGGGUGCAAGCGUUAAUCGGAAUUACUGGGCGUAAAGCGUGCGCAGGCGGUUUGCUAAGACCGAUGUGAAAUCCCCGGGCUCAACCUGGGAACUGCAUUGGUGACUGGCAGGCUAGAGUAUGGCAGAGGGGGGUUAGAAUUCCACGUGUAGCAGUGAAAUGCGUAGAGAUGUGGAGGAAUGCCGAUGGCGAAGGCAGCCCCCUGGGCCAAUACUGACGCUCAUGCACGAAAGCGUGGGGAGCAAAACAGGAUUAGAUACCCCUGGUAGUCCACGCCCUAAACGAUGUCAACUAGUUGUUGGGGAUUCAUUUCCUUAGUAACGUAGCUAACGCGUGAAGUUGACCGCCUGGGGAGUACGGUCGCAAGAUUAAAACUCAAAGGAAUUGACGGGGUCAUAGCUGUUUCCU